AAUAGGACAGAACUCACAGGGAGAUCUUGUUCCUUGAUGUUCUCCAAGUUCCCACUGGGAGCAGGCAGAGCUAUCUGGCUUGCAUGGGUUCAGCCGUCUGUCCCUCUUGGCCACCUCUCCACUGGUCUCUGGUGAGACUAGAAACAAGAGGCUGCUGCUCCACCUCUACCCAUGUCCUCCAGGGUAGACCUAGAGACUUGGGGGAAUAUAAAGCCAUGAUCUGUGUGAAGGCCAAGGGCACUAGGAGUCAUGCUGGCACCAGUGGGAUGCCCUGUCCCUGCCACAGAGAGGUCUCUGGAGCCUGAUGUUAGGCUAGAUGUAUUGUUCCAGAGGAUAGCCAGGGAUUCCCUGGAACACCGCUUUAUUCAGGGCCAUCUGGUAUCUCACAGUCCCAGGACCAAGAAGAUUGUCAUGCUUCAUGAUUCAUCCUUCCUGGUUCCCAUGGAGCAGGGAGAGAGCCACAGAAGCCCUUGGUGGUUUUGAUUCUCCUCAGCUAUGGUUCAUUGCUCUGGCCCAUCUUGCUCUCAUAUCCUUCAGGGAAGAACGGAAGUGAUUCCAGUAGAGCAGCAACAAUCAAUAUAAUGGUUUGUGUUCAUUUACACUAACCAAGCACCCCCUUCAGCUGUCCUACACUUCCCAGGAGAGUAGAUACCUGGGAGAGGAGAAGGCACACCUGGGAAAUGAUCAAUGGUGCUACCACUCCAGAAAGGGGUGUAGGAAGUUUCAGGCUGCAAUAACACAGUGAUUUCAUCCACUUCAGCAGGCCCUUUGCCAGGUGUAUCCUGUCCAGCCUGUACUGAACUGACUGGGGAUGAGGAGAGGCAGUGGCAGCCAACUCCAAAUGGCCAAGACCAGCCUCGUGUCAGUGCUCAGUAGCUGAGUCAUGUUUUGGUCUUCUGCCCCACCCAGUCUAGAGCGAGUUCAGCACAACCCUUUGAGCUUCACUUUCCUGCUCUCAACACUCUCCCUCCUUCAGGGAUCUUCCCACAUUCAUGGCCCAACCCAUCCACCACCAGUUCUCUCUCUUCUCCUGGGCUGGACACCAUGCAGGACAGGAGCCAGGAGCUUGCUGGCUUUGAUUCAUCAUCCUCCAGAAAAAAAGCUGGCUGAUCCUGCUGGCCAUGCUUCCUCUUGCACCAUCUGCUGUUCCUGACAGCUAGCCCCAGCACAAAGGCUUGGUGUUCAUCUGCACCACCCUGUCUUGAGGGGAAAGGCCACUUCUGGGGGUCACUGUUCCUACAUGGCACUGCUGGAGGUGGAAUCUGGGAAGUGGAGCUGUGGAAAUGGUGCUGUGUUAUGCCCUGGCAAUGCAGUGACAUCCUGUCUCAUUGUUUUUAGUGAGGUUUUUGCUAAGGUAGUGACCCAGGAACAUCAGCAUAUCCUCAAAGCAGUGCCUUCCACAAACCUCUCCACCAGGCACGAGCACUCCCGUGUCCUGGUGUGCCUGGGAAUGUGGCUGUGCUGGCUGGUGGGAUGGACAGGCUGCCAGUCACCAUGGAUACUGCAAUGUGUGCUCUGGAUUUGUCAAAGAAACCAUGGCCAUGGGAUCAUGGGAACACAUUUAUAUCCCACCAGCUUUGUCCCAUCAGGCAACGCUCAAGUUUGGUGUGUGUUAACAAUCAAAACCUGAUGGCUUCCCACGGGUCCCAGGCUCCUGAAUGAUAUGGGCUGCUGACAGGUGCUGCUGGAGGCUGAGAGAAGGAAAAUCAAGGAUGCCCUGACAUGGUCUGUCACUAGCUUGAAGAGAAGAAAGCAGGAUCCAGUCUUUUGCUAUUUACUGAUGUUACUGCAGCCUGGGAGAGAAAUCAACACGGUCAUGAAUUAUGGCCCAUGCUGGUAGGACAUUUCAUUCUGUUUGAUUUAGUGGGAAAAAAUCUCAAAUAACUAAAGAUGAGUUCAAGCUAUGACACUUUUCUUCUUGCUUCUGAGUUGCCCUGAGGAGUGUCUGGGUUGAGUACUUUCACGUGGGUCAUUGGGAAGGUGAGACCCUUCAGCAAAUGUGGGUCUGUGUGUAGGGCUCAGUUUUGAAGAAGCCUGAUAUUACAGCAGUGCAGCUCUAUCUCCACUCAGGAAACUCACCAGACUUUGAAAAAAAACCAACCCUCAGAAUCACUGGGAUGAAAGAAUCACAUGUUGUUGUGUGGGUGUUUUUAAGCUUCAGCCAUGGGAUCCUCCAGCUCUUCCUUCACCUGCAGGUCUUUUCCAUCCCACCUAACACCUUCUGCUGCUGAGCACCUGAGGGAUAAGGAAAGCAGCAUCCUGGCCUGUGGGUGUGUGUUUCUGAGAUGGGAGAAGCAUGAGGGCACAGACUGGCAGGACAUAACAUGUACCUUCUCUGCAGAGGUUACCAGCAGCAUCCUCACUCAUUUUGUGUGAAGAAAAGGAACUCCAACAUUACACAAAAAAAAAAAAAAAAAAAAAAAAAAAGGAGGGUGGGUGGGAGGAGGACAGAAUCUUGCUUUCUCCUUGAACAACAAAACUCUUGAACUCUUGACUACAGGCAAAAGGAAACUGAAGUCACUGAAUUUUGAAGUCACUCUGGAAGAUGAUGUGCAGUGCUGUGGUCCCACAGCGAGGGGAGGGUGUCCCUUAGCACAGAGCCACACCAGGGCACAGCUAGGGCAAUUCCCUGGGCUUUUCCAUAUGAAUGCUCAUUUUAUUACAAAUAACCACCAUUUUAAUAAUAAAUUACUGCCCUCUGGAAGUCCUACAGUAAUGCCAUUGUCAUCUGUGGGCACUGGAGACUGGGGAGGAGAAGAGGAUGGGAUGUGUUGGUUAUUUGAUGGACUUUUUCACAAGGGCUACAUUUAGGUCUAUACAUGUGCACAAAGUACCACAAUUUGGGAAGUCUGGGUGAUCUUUGGCAAGGCCCUAUUCAUACACCCAAACUUCAGCACCACACAUGUUCCUUUAGUCAAGACAUAGGUGAAUGCACUCUUGCCUCCCCAACAGCUCUUACUGUUGGUUAUAAAUCUGAGAAAAUUAGGCCAAUAUGUGGACGUUGGGUCUGGAGGAUGCCUCAGCUUGAGACUUGGAGGUUUAGCUCAUGAUUUUUAACUCCUUGACAUCACAGGGGCAAACAUUUGCUUUGCAGAGUUUCUUUGCUAAAUCAGGUUGGGUCCAUCUAGGGAGCAAUGGGUGUGUAUCACCUCAGGAGAGCCCCUGUGGGAAGCAAGACAGUGAAGGUGGGCACUCAUCCAGCUGUUGUAAAGGAACUGAUUUUUGGUUGACAGGAUAAAGGGCUUUCUUCUUGACGGGUGGGACAAGGAAGGCACCAGAAACUAAAAAGACAGAAGGAACAAAGUGAAAAUUUAAGGAAAAAAUGCAGCGUCUGGCAAAAUAUUUUCUCUUUAUAUCCUUCCAUGGGGUGAUGGUUAUUCAUCACCUGAAUUGCCCUGGUGGUUGUGACUCCUCUCAGGAUCUAAAUCACAGAGUCACAGGAUGGUUUGGGCUGGAAGGGACCAUAAAGAACAUCCAGUUCCAACUCCCUCGUAUAUGAGAAGCACAGCUGUACUGCACAUGUGAUGGCCUGGAAAGACAACUCAGUCCCUGGGGAAAUGCCCAGUGACUUAUAGGAAAGCCACUCGUGGUGGAGAGGAGCGCUUUGGAUCCCAGCUUCAUGUUUUACAGGCAGUCAUAAAAAAAUCAAACAGUCAUUUAGCACAGCAUCAGCAGAUGGAGUAAGGUUUUUUUAAACCAGAACUGUAACAUGUCAUGGCCAGUACUAAUCUCUGCUCUCAUGGUCAGAGGUCCCCUCUGAUGCAGGGGGGGACUCUCCUAUCCUGUGCUCAUGCAGUGUGACCUGGAAAUCCCUGUGGUCUUGGAAUUCCCCUGGCUCCAGGCCCAUGCAUGGGGGUGAAAGCACUGAUUGCUGUUCAACAUCCUGUCCCACCAGAGAGUGGAUGGAAAAAUAUUGAUUUCCUUUCAGAGGAGGCAGAUUCACAGAUGCACUUAUUGUGGGCUUGUCCCUCCUCGGAGGCAAAGGGGAUGCAAAGAUAAACCCCCUCCUAUCCCAUUUUCAAGUCUCCAGCCAUGGAACAGGAAGAUAACACUGAAAAAAGGCUGCAUUAACAUGCAAGAUCUUGUCUUCUCUGCCAAACCACAGUACAGAUCCCUGUCUUCUGUGCUGGCCGGGAAAUAUUAAAUGAGGUCCUGUCUCCACCAAGCUGGACUACCUUCAUCCUGGCAGCCCUUAGGUGCCAUCUCUUGCUUCUACAAAAUAAUCCAGGGAUGUUUCCAAGCCAAGGUGCCCUUUCAGAAUGAGCUUCAAGGCUGGGAAGAAGCUACUUGGGAUCACAUGUAGAGGAAAAAGAAAACAUAACUAAGGAGGCACGAGGUGUUCAGCCUGGUGACAGCAGUAAUUGGCUCAGAUUGGUCUGGCUCAUGAAUGUGCACUGGUGCUGUUGGAAGUGGGACAUAUGAGUGUCACCAGCACUGAGGUGCCACCAUGGUCUGCAUAUGGGAGAUGUGGCUGCCCUAUUGAGAGAGGUUAUUAAUCUUUCCCAUGACCCUGCCCUGAGUGCCAGAGCAGCAAAACACUUGUUCUGCAGUGCUCAGAGGGGAAGUCCAAAGAAAUGGCUUCUCGCAGGACAAGACACACACACCCACUCGAAGGACAGAGACUUCUCUCCAGAGUCUCACAGCCACCUGGGAAUUUGGGACCCUUGAGUUUGAAAGCCCCCCCCCCCCGUGGCACACACCUGGAGGAGCACUUCACCUUCUCUGGCUGAAGCAAUUUGUCUUAACUAAAGCGUUUCAAUUAAAAGUCAAGACUGAAUCAC